AGUGAACGCUGGCGGUAGGCCUAACACAUGCAAGUCGAACGGCAGCACAGUAAGAGCUUGCUCUUACGGGUGGCGAGUGGCGGACGGGUGAGGAAUACAUCGGAAUCUACUUUUUCGUGGGGGAUAACGUAGGGAAACUUACGCUAAUACCGCAUACGACCUACGGGUGAAAGCAGGGGAUCUUCGGACCUUGCGCGAUUGAAUGAGCCGAUGUCGGAUUAGCUAGUUGGCGGGGUAAAGGCCCACCAAGGCGACGAUCCGUAGCUGGUCUGAGAGGAUGAUCAGCCACACUGGAAAUGAGACACGGUACAGACUCCUACGGGAGGCAGCAGUGGGGAAUAUUGGACAAUGGGCGCAAGCCUGAUCCAGCCAUACCGCGUGGGUGAAGAAGGCCUUCGGGUUGUAAAGCCCUUUUGUUGGGAAAGAAAAGCAGCAGGUUAAUACCCCGCUGUUCUGACGGUACCCAAAGAAUAAGCACCGGCUAACUUCGUG
rnacentral:rRNA from 1 species